GUUGGGCACAGUGGCGCAUGCCUGUAAUCCUAGCAACUUGGGAGGCUGAGGGAGGAGGAUCGCAAGUUCGAAGCCAGCCUCAGCAACUUAGACAUUCUCAAAAUUUUAAAAAAGGCUGGGGAUGUAGCUCAGUGGUAGAGCCUCCCUCCC
rnacentral:sRNA from 1 species